AUGGAUUCAGGCCGUGUAUUCUUACUGCUGUUUUACUCUUGUAGGCAGCACAGCUGUGGAGGGAGGAAAAACAAACAGAAGAUGGACUGGAUAAAAUUGCGUUCCUAUUCCAGGAAGAGCCGGGCUGAAAAGAAUGUACACUGUGCUUCUCCUCUGCCAGCUGUGCCUGCAUCUGCAGGCAGAAUGAAAGCUAAAGCCAAAGGACGUACUGACGCUUAUGUCAAAAGAAAGAUUGGAAAUGUCAUUAAAAAGAGUUUACCAAAAAUUCGAGAAAUUUCUGAAGUGACUCAGAUGGACUGCCUUUCAGUUGAACAGAGUGUUGAAUUAAAUUGUAAUGAAAACAGGACUAUGGAGAUGAAUAAAAAUGUCAAAGAAAUGGACACUACUCCAUUGAAGGAUUCUUUGACUUUAAAUUCAGCAAGUAGAAAAAGCCUGAGAAAUAAUGAAACUACAUCAGGAAUGACUUUACCUACAGGUAUUUCAGACUUUCUGUUGGACUGUUUGGAUGCAGAUUCCACUGUGAGCUACAGUACAGAAUGUAGUGAUGACACAAGUAUUUAUUCUUCACCAGAAAUACUCAGGGAUGAAAGAAGUCUAGAAGAAAGCAGUGCUAGUCCACAAGGACCAAGGCUUGGAGGCAAAAAUUCAACUCUCUUGGAUACAAGUAAAGCUAUCAACAUUGACAAGAUGCAGCAGCUGCCGAAUCUUUCAAACAUAUCCGGUAACUAACUCUGAAUGGGUUAAGGAAGGGAAUGAUUGUAAAUUCAGCUGUGAACAUCUGUUCUGUUAAAGGCUGAAUGAACAGUCAGCAGCAGAUAUGGUGCUUUUACACCACUAGGUGUGUGGGGGGGCAAUUCAAGGGAGAAGCACCAAA
ensembl:lncRNA